GUGUCAGCCGCCGCGGUAAUACGGAGGGUGCGAGCGUUGUCCGGAAUCACUGGGCGUAAAGGGCGCGUAGGUGGCCGAGCAAGGUCGCGGUGAAAGCCCGGGGCUCAACCCCGGGUCGGCCGUGGCAACUACUUGGCUUGAGCACUGUAGGGGCGGGUGGAAUUCCGGGUGUAGCGGUGGAAUGCGUAGAGAUCCGGAAGAACACCGGUGGCGAAGGCGGCCCGCUGGGCAGGAAGGCAGAGCAAUCUGCCGGCUGACACUGAGGCGCGACAGCGUGGGGAGCAAACAGGAUUAGAAACCCUCGUAGUCC
rnacentral:rRNA from 1 species